rnacentral:rRNA from 1 species
CGUAGGGUGCGAGCGUUAAUCGGAAGUUACUGGGCGUAAAGCGUGCGCAGGCGGUUUUGUAAGACAGAUGUGAAAUCCCCGGGCUCAACCUGGGACCUGCAUUUGUGACUGCAAGGCUAGAGUACGGUAGAGGGGGAUGGAAUUCCGCGUGUAGCAGUGAAAUGCGUAGAUAUGCGGAGGAACACCGAUGGCGAAGGCAAUCCCCUGGACCUGUACUGACGCUCAUGCACGAAAGCGUGGGGAGCAAACAGGAUUAGAUACCCUGGUAGUCCACGCCCUAAACGAUGUCAACUGGUUGUUGGGUCUUUACUGACUCAGUAACGAAGCUAACGCGUGAAGUUGACCGCCUGGGGAGUACGGCCGCAAGGUUG